CCAAUAGCGUAUAUUAAAGUUGUUGCAGUUAAAAAGCUCGUAGUUGAAUUUCGGGAUUGACACAUCGGUCGUGCCUUAAGGGGUAUGAACUGGUGUAGUCAAUUUCUCACCUUCUGGAGAACCGCGAUGCCCUUAAUUGGGUGUCACGGGGAACCAGGACCUUUACUUUGAAAAAAUUAGAGUGUUUAAAGCAGGCAUUUUGCUUGAAUACAUUAGCAUGGAAUAAUAAAAUAGGACGGCAUGAUUCUAUUUUGUUGGUUUCUAGGAUCACCGUAAUGAUUAAUAGGGAUAGUUGGGGGCAUUAGUAUUCAAGUGUCAGAGGUGAAAUUCUUGGAUUUAUUGAAGACUAACUACUGCGAAAGCAUUUGCCAAGAAUGUUUUCAUUAAUCAAGAACGAAAGUUAGGGGAUCGAAGACGAUCAGAUACCGUCGUAGUCUUAACCAUAAACUAUGCCGACUAGGAAUCAGACGAUGUUAAUUUUUUAAUGACUCGUUUGGCACCUUACG
rnacentral:rRNA from 1 species